CUUGAAAGUUUAGAAGAAGAGACGAAUGUUUAAGAUUACAAAGAAAACGGAACAAUCGCUUUAUUGGAAAAGUUUUUGUACGUAGAGUCGUAGAUCUACGCGAAAAAUAGCACAGCAAAUAAAAUUACGAAAAUGUAGAAAGUAGAAGUUUGGUGUCGCGGCCCUCAUGUCAUGUCCUCCACUCCAUGCUGUUUAGCAGAUUUGAGGCCUGAGCUAGUCGUCACUACCACAAAAUAUGCAAGUGUUGCUUGUGCUGGAAUUGAUCUGCCUCCAGCAACAAUCUCAUGAAAUCGCUGUAUAAGAUAAACAACAUCCCGUUGGAUCGGAAUGGAGAAACUACUGAUGUCGGCCGAGUUACGGAUCAAUUCUUCCCCUUUAUUUUAAUUCCCUCUAUCCUCGUGUACACCCAUGUGUGUGUGGUGGAUUUCACUAUUCAGCGGAUGGAUCACUUGCUGGAUGCCUGGCCGUAGAUUUACCAGGCUUAAAGGUAGGACACAAUUGAUCAUUAUUCUUCCUUUUUGACUAUUAAGUGGCGUUGUUUAUCAAUCGCGACAUAGUAUGGAGUAGAAUUAUUAUUCCUGGGCUAGGCUGUUGGCCGUUUCCUCUUACCGUUUUUGUUUACUCACGUCA